rnacentral:ncRNA from 1 species
UUUUUAUGAGGGAGCAAAGAUGUGCGAUAAUAUGUGGGCACCUUAAAUCGCAUGGAGCUAGUGGUGCAACCGACCUCUACGUAA